AGCUUCUCUGGCCCUGCAAGGCGACCCCUAAGCGCAAUGUCCGGGACCCGCGGUCAGAGGGCCGGAGUGAGGGUGGCAGCGCUCAGGGAAGGAGGCGGAGGCAGAGGCCUCUUUCUUCCCCCGAGGUGGAGAGGGCCCCGGGUCGGAGGAGCGAGGGCCGCACCGCUGGAGCCCACUCCCGCCUCCUUCCCCACGGGCCGGCGCACUUGGGAGCUGGACAGGACGCUCUUCCUGGGCUCGGAGCAGGCGCGGGCCCGGGUUGAGCCGAGCCUGAGCAGGGGCAGGCUCUAGCUGGCGGCUGGCCAGAUGCCCUCCAGGUGCGCAGCGCGUGACCUGCGGCAGGGCGGGGCGGCCCCACGAGAGUUCUUCGAGGGUGGCGGGCGAGUCACGUGAGCAGGGGUUGGGGUCCGCCGGAUAAUGGGGGAUGCGGGAGCCCGCUGGAGGAGUGGAGGGGCGCCUUGGGGAACGGCGGUUAAGCCCCAGCGACGCUCCUGGCCUGGAUGUCGGGCCGUAUCCUUGUCGAGGCUGGGGAGCUGGGCCGAGGAGCCCCAUCCCGCGGGCGCCGCCUCCCAGGUGGGGCGCGGAGCUCGGCUCUGCGCCGCCACCGUGUGGCCGAAGGGGGCAGCGCCUGCUUGGAGCCUCUGGCGAUCGGCUUUCGAUACCCUGCCCCCUUCCGAGCUAGGGUCCAGGAGUGGGGUUGAGGUUGCCAUGGCGACGGGUGCGCGGGCUGGUAUCUUCCUCUGGCUGCUGUGGGGCCGGGGCGUGGACACCCAGCAUCUGCCCUCACCCUGCUCACUGAAUCACCUUGGUGUGGACGAGGAUUAUCCUUCCCAAAAGCAGCCAGGCCUCCCAACAACCAACCAGCUUUUUUUGUUUUGUUAUUUUUUUAAAAAAAAAUAGAGAUAGGGUCUCGCUCUGUUGGCCAGGCUGUCCUCCCAAAGUGCUGGGGUUACAGGCAUAAGCCCCCGCGCGCAGCCCCAGCUUUCUUUUUUUUCUUUUUGCUGGAGUUAAGCAGUAUGAUCUCGGCUCGCUGCAACUUCCGCCUCCAAGGUUCAAGCCGUUCUCCUGCCUCAGCCUCCCAAGUAGCUGGGACUACAGGCACGAGACACCACGCCUGGCUAAUUUUUGUAUUUUUAGUAGAGACGGGGUUUUGCCAAGGCGAGGCCAAGGCAGGUGGAUCACGAGGUCAGGAGUUCAAGACCAGCCUGGCCAACAUGGUGAAACCCCAUCUCUACUAAAAAUACAACAAUUAGCCAGGCGUGGUGGUGCGCACCUGUAGUCUCAGUUACUCGGGAGGCUGAGGCAGGAGAAUUGCUUGAAUCCGGGAGGCAGAGGUUGCAGUGAGUCCAUAUCAUGCCACUGCACUCCAGUCUGGGCGACAGAGCAAGACUGUCUCAAAAAAAAAAAAAAAAAAAUACCUAGGGCCCCCAGCUGUAGUCAUGUCCCAUUCUGGAAAACACUACCAUAGGGAAUUACUGGAAGUACCCUGGGGAGGUAGGAUGAAGCCACUGUUGGUUGAGCAAGGUUGUCUGUGUAUCAAGUAAGGAGGCUUGCUGCUUUUCAUAAUUCUUUCUGAGCCCCAGAUCUAUCAGCAUAUCUGAUCUUAACCUUCCCUGCUGGCAACACUUCGGUGACUCCCAGUUCUCUUCCAGACAAAGAGCAAAUGUCUUAACAUGGCCCGCAAGGCCCUUUGGGAUCUUGAGAUAGGUCCACCAUGGCUCCACUGGGCUGGUGAAUGAGGGAAUGAGAUAGGAGAACCAAGAAACAGGGAGGACUUCCUGGAGGAAGUGACAUUUGAGCUGAAAUCUCACCAAUUUAUGUGCGAGAACCAGGUGAUGGUGGUGAAGCGCUUUCUAGGGAGAAGGAACAGCGUGUAAACAGUUCCUGAGACAGGAGGAAACCUUGUGCAUGUGACCACCUGAAAGAGGCCUGAAGAAGAAACCGGAGGAAUCUGCAGAGGCCAGAUCCUGAGUGCCUGGCGCAUCACAGACUGUGAUUUUUUUUUUUUUUUUUUGAGACAGUCUUGCUCUGUCACCCAGGCUGGAGUGCAGUUGUGCCAUCCAUGGCUUACUGCAGCAUCGACCUCCUAGGCUCAAGCAAUCCUUCCACCUCAGCCUCCCUAGCAGCUGGGACUACAGGUGUGUGCCACUAUGCCUGGCUAAUUUUUGUAUUUUUUGUAGAGCCAGGGUUUCCCUGUGUUGCCCAGGCUUAGACUGUGAUCUUAAUACUGUGCUGUCAGAAGCCAUUCAGAGUUCCAAGCUGGGGGGUGACUUUUAUUCAAUGACGUGAACAACAAAUACUUCUUGAGCACCUACUACAUGUAGAAUGCUGGGGAUUUUAUAGUAACCAGACUCUUGCAAUCUCUGUCAUUGGGAAGCUUAUACUCUUUUCUUUUCCUAAUCAAAGUUAUAUAUGCACAAAGUUUAAACAGAUAAGUUUUUAUAAAAACAGCAGGCUGGGCAUGAUUAUCACACCUAUAAUCCCAGCACUUUGGGAGGCCAAGGUGGGAGGAUUGCUUGAGCCCAGGAGUUCAAGACCAGCCUGGGCAACAUAGUGAGACCUCCAUCUCUACUAAGAAAACAAAAAGACAUCGCCCAUUCCACUGAAGCAGAGGCACCCAUUUUCAACUCCUUUAACUGACUAUAUUUUAUAUUUAUCUCCAUAUCUCGAAAUAAAUGUGCUUGUUUUGCUCUUUCUUGAUAUUUCAGUUAUAGGCACUAUCUCUUGUUUUUCUACCAUGGAAAAUAGUUUUAUUUUUUGGGUUUUUGUGAGACAGGGUCUCACUCUGUCACCCAGGCUGGAGUGCAGUGGUGCCAUCCAUGGCUCACUGCAGCCUCGACCUUCCUGGUUCAAGUGAUCCUCAGCUCAGCCUCUUGAGUAGCUGGGACAAUAGGUGCGCACCACCAUGCCAGGCUAAUAUUUUUUUCUGUUUUUUGUAGAGAUGGGGUCUCACUUUUGUUGCCCAGGCUGGAGGACGAUAGUUUUAACACUUCCCAUCACCAGCCAUACGGAUAAUCCCCAUCUCUCUAAACUGCCAUCAUAAUUUUGUUUUGUUCAAUUCUCAUUGUUUACAUUAUUCGACGGCGCUAUGAUUCCUUUCCUCUACAACUUUUUGUUUUCCUGCAGCUCUUAAUUGUCCUGUUUUACCACUUGCUUAGUGUAUUCCACUCCCUACCAGGUAUCUAAAUCUCCUCUCAAGAUGUUCAGACAGGCUGGGCGUGGUGGCUCACGCCUGUAAUCCCAGCACUCUGGGAGGCCGAGGCAGGUGGAUCAGAGGGUCAGGAGAUUGAGACCAUUCUGGUUAACACGGUGAAACCCCCUCUCUACUAAAAAAUAUAAAAAAUUAGCUGGGCGUGGUGGUGGGCGCCUGUAGUCCCAGCUACUCGGGAGGCUGAGGCAGGAGAAUGGCGUGAACCCUGGAGACGGAGCUUGCACUGAGCCGAGAUUGCGCCACUGCACUCCAGCCUGGGAGACAGAGCAAGACUCUGUCUCAAAAAAAAAAAAAAAAGAUAUUCAGACAAAUCAGAUACCUCAGGUUGGUCUCUCUGGAAGGUACACAGAAGAAGAGGUUUGUUAGGGAUCAACACCUAUGAAAGGAAGUGGGAGGAAGCAGGAUUGGGCAGAAGUCAAACUACAGUGCAGGCCUGGCAAAGCCUAGGCCAACCUGGCAAGGAGCUCUGGAGUGAGUUUUGCCCAUCAGAGUGUGCCAAGCCUGGCUGGAAUGGCCAGGCCUUUAUACCACUGCCUGGCUCAGUCACCUGAUGGGGGCCGCCCUGGGGAAGGAUGAGGAAGGAUGUGGAAGGAUGUGAUCUUGGGCGAGGAGGCUGUCUGCAUCUGAGGCCAGCCCUGGAGCUGACAGCUGGAGGCUGUCUGCUGUCCAAACUCCCUGCAGCUGGGCAGCAGGCCCUUCCUUGAACAGCGGGCGGGGUGGGGGGUGUUGGGAGGCUCAUCUCCAUGACUACCACAUCAAUCUUCUAUCACUUUCAUGUUCUUGAAGAAGUUUUCUUGGAGUCCUCUGUUCUGCUCCAGUCUGGAGUGUUUGCCCUUUAUACCUGGUGAGCAGGUAUCACUCUGGGCAGGGAAAGAUCCAGAUUGUUUAGGGUCUAAAACUUAUGCAGGCAUGGUGUGGUGGCUCAGAAUUUUGGGAGGCCAAAGUGAGAGAAUCUAGGCCAGGAGUUCAAGACCAGCCUGGGCAACGUAACAAGCCCCACUUUCUACCAUCAGUCAUUCAGUCCAAAAUUAUCUGGGUGUGGUGGAAGUUGAGGCAGGAGGAUUGCUUGAGCCCAGGAGAUCAAGGCUGCAUUGAGGCGUGUUUGCGCCACUGUAUUCCAGCCUGGGCAAAAGAGUGAGGCCUUGUCUCAAAAAAAAAAAAAAAAAAGCUUAUACAUUCUGAGUCCUUUUAUUUAUUUAGAGACAGUCUGGCUCUGUCAUCCAGGCUGGAGUGCAGUGGCGCCAUCUUGGCUCACUGCAACCUCCACCUCCAGGGUUCAAACGAUUCUUGUGCCUCAGCCUCCCGAGUAGUUGGGAUUACAGGCGUGUGCCACCACGCCUGGCUAAUUCUUUUAUAUUUUUAGUAGAGACAGGGUUUCACCAUGUUGGCCAGGCUGGUCUCUAACUCCAGGCCUCAGGUGAUCCACCUGCCUCAGCCUCCCAAAGUGCUGGGAUUACAGGCAUGAGCCACUGCUGGCCUUUUUUUUGUUUUUGUUUUUGUUUUUUUGAGACGGAGUCUCAGUCUGUCACCCAGGCUGGAGUACAGUGGCACGAUCUCUGCUCACUGCAGCCUCCGCCUCCAGGGUUCAAGCGAUUCUUCUGCCUCAGCCUCCCGAGUCUCAGUGGUGUGAUCUCUGCUCACUGCAGCCUCAAACUCCUGAGCUCAAGCAAUCCUCCCACCUCAGCCUCCUUAGUAGUAGCUGGGACCACAGGUGCUUACUACCAUGCCCAGCUAGUAUUUUGCAUUUUUAGUAAAGAUGGGGUUUCACCAUGUUGGCCAGGCUGGUCUUGAACUCUCUACUUCAGGUGAUCCGCCCACCUCGACCUCCCGAAGUGCUGGGAUUACAGGUGUGAGCCACCGUGCCCGGCCUAUUAUUUUUUAUUGAGACAGGGUCUUGCUCUGUCGCCCAGGCUGGAGUGCAGUGGCACCAUCUCUGCUCACUGAAACCUGGACCUCCUGGGCUCAAUUGAUGUGCUCUCCUCAGCCUUCUGAGUAGCUGAGAUAAAGAUGCAUACCAUAGUGCUGGGCUAAUUUUUGUGUUUUUUCUUUUUCUUUUUUUUUUUGAGACGGAGUUUCACUCUGUCACCCAGGCUGGAGUGUGGUGGCGUGAUCUCGGCUCACUGCAACCUCUGCCUCCUGGGUUCAAACGAUUCUCCUGCCUCAGCCUCCCGAGUAGCUGGGACUACAGACAGGCGCGCGCCACCACACCCGGCUAAUUUUUUGUAUUUUUAGUAGAGACGGGGUUUCACCGUGUUAGCCAGGAUGGUCUCAAUUUCCUGACCUUGUGAUCCGCCCGCCUCAGCUUCCCAAAGUGCUGGGAUUACAGGCGUGAGCCACUGUGCCCGGCAAUUUUUGUAUUUUUUGUAGAGACAAGGUUUCACCAUGUUGCUCAGGCUGGUUUCGAACUCCUGAGCUCAAGCAAUCCAUCUGCCCGCCUUGGCCUCCCAAAGUGCUGGGAUUACAGUCAUGAGCCACUGCGCCUGGCCUUUCAGUUUUUAAUUGAUUCCUCCCCUCUGUUGUCUCUUUCUUUCUCAGGCUAGAGUGCCAUGGGUCUAUCUCCUUGUUGCAGCCUCUGCCUCCAGGAGGAUCAAGCCAUCCUCCCACCUCAGCCUUCUGAGUAGCUGGGACUACAGGCUCGAGCCACCACUCCCGGCUAAUUUUUGUAUUUUUUUCUAGAGAUGGGGUUUCACCAUGUUGUCCAAGCUGCUCUUGGACUCCUGGGUUCAAGCCAUCCGCCAGCCUCAGCCUCCCAAAGUGCUGGGAUUACAGGUGUGAGCCACUACGCCCAGCCCUAGUCCCCUCUCUUUUCUAUGCUUUCUCUUUCUGUAAUUUCUUUAAUUCAAAUGUUGGGUGUCCUGGACCAGGCCCCUAAUUAUCUUUUUCCUUCCCCUUUUUUAUCCCUUUUUCUCUUUGUUCUACUAUCUGGAAGAUUUCUCCAAAUUUAUCUUCCAGCCCUUUCAUUGAAUUUUUAGAUCCCAAGGACUUUUUGUUGGUGGUGGUGGUUGACUGUUUCUUUUGUUUGUUUGUUUGUUUGUUUUUGAGACAGAGUCUUGCUCUGUCACCCAGGCUGGAGUGCAGUGGCGCGAUUUUGGCUCACUGCAACCUUCGCCUCCCCAGUUCAAGUGAUUCUCCUCUCAGUCUCCCGAGUAGCUGGGAUUACAGGUGUGCACCACCAUGCCCGGCUGAUUUUUGUAUUUUUAGUAGAGACGGGGUUUCACCAUCUUGGCCAGGCUGGUCUUGAACUCCUGACCUUGUGAUCUGCCUGCCUCAGCCUCCCAAAGUACGGGGAUUACAGGCGUGAGUCACCGUGCCCGGCCUUGACUGUUUCUUUUUAAAAUAACAUCCUCUUCAGCUGGGCACGGUGUAUUUUUGUAUCAAAAAAUACAAAAAUUAGCCGGGCAUUGUGGUGUGCACCUGUAAUCCCAGCUACUUGGGAGGCUGGGACAGAACAAUUGCUUGAACCCAGGAGGCGGAUGUUGCAGUGAGCCAAGAUCACACCAGUGUACUCCAGCCUGGGUGACAGAGCAAGAUUCUGUCUCCCAAAAAAGUAAAUAAAUAAAAUAACAUCCUCUUCUUGCAUCAUAGAUGUAAUCUCUUCUCUUCUCUCUCUGAAGAUGUUAACAGUAGGUCUUUCUUCUUGGCUUGGUCAGAUUUCCUUUAGACAACACUUUUCCUGCUCUCUUGCCUAGGGAGCAAAGCCAUGGCGGCCAGCUUUCUGGGAGCCAAUUUGGGAAACAGGGUUGGUGUGGGGUCUCAGCAUUCACAGUGUGUGUGUUCACUUCGUCUCCUGAUUUGGGGAGGAUACCCCCGCCCUCAACCAUGCCUGUGAUCUCUCAUUCCAGUGAUCCUGUUUUCUCCUCUCGGAGAGUAAACCUCCAGUGUUCCGCCAGGAUUAGGGAAGCCACCCAGGGACCUAAUAAUUUUCAUCCUUAAACAGCAGGGUCCAACUCCUCCUUAUUUUAUUCCUCCUCGCCCCCAUAAACAGGUGCCUGAGCCUUUGGGGGAGUCUGUGAUCUGGACUGGGUGGGUUCUCCUCUUUCCCCACAUCCAGUUUAGGGUACAGUUUUCAUGGGUUUGCUGUGUAGUGACCACCUGACCAUCUGCUUCCCAGCCUCCAAAUGCUGUGCAUUUGUCUCCUCCCUCAUUCUCCCCAUCUUAGUGGGUUUAUGCCUUAAAAAGAAUCUCUUUACUGUAGUUUCAGUGAAGUUUUGGGAGGAAGUGAAAUUGGAUGUGUAUGUUCAAUUUGCAGAGCCUCUAUUCUCGCCUAAACCAAUACACAGAUUAAUAAUUACAGACUGUGAGAGCUACAAAGGAAACAAAUAAGGGGCCAAGAUGAGAACAGGCAGGAAUACUUAGGCUUGAAAAAUGCAGAUUUGCAUCUUUAAAUAUGUGUCUUACUGCACUCCCGUCUGGGCGACAGAGCCAGACCCUGUCUCAAAAAAAUAAAAAUAAAAAUAAAAUAUGCGUCUUGCUGCUGUGCAGAGAAGAGAUUGUCCAGGAACAAGCAGGGAGUGUGGGAGACAGUGAGGAAGCCACUGAGAUCAAGGUGAGGGAUGGGGUUGAUUGGAAAGGUCAUGGCUAUAAAGCUAGAAGGAGCCAUUUAGGAUUCAGAGAGACUGUGACCUCCAGGAGGACAGGCACCAUGUCCAUUUUAUUCCCUGAUGUUUACAUACCCAGAGCCUAACAUGGUCCCUGGCCAUCACAGACAUUGUAUAAAAUACUUAUGGAAUGGACAUGGUAGAUGAGGAAGAGAGACGAGUCCAGGAUGACCUUCAGGUCCUCUGAGGGCUAUGAGUGUGUAGCCAAAGGGAGCCACAGGUGGUGUGGGAGCAGGGGAAUGACCAGGUGAGAGUCUUACCUGCGUCAUUGGGCCCCUCCACUUCCUGGCCUGUCUCCCACCACACCCCCCAGUCUGGCCUCCUCACUCAAGCACUUCCCUCUGCCUAACAUUCCCUUUCCCUAGCCCCACUCUUUCAACCUGGCCACUCCACUGUCCGUCCUGACCUCAGGAGGCCUCAGUCAAAUUCUGAUACCCGUUCUUUUUCUGCAGAACUCUUUUUUUUUUUUUUUUUGAGACAGAGUUUCGUUCUUGUUGCCCAGGCUGGAGUGCAAUGGCACUAUCUCAGCUCACGGCAACCUCAGCCUCCCAGGUUCAAGCGAUUCUUCUGCCUCAGCCUCCCCAGUAGCUGGGAUUGCAGGCAUGUGCCACCACGCCCAGCUAAUUUUGUAUUUUUAGUAAAGAUGGGGUUUCUCCAUGUUGGUCAGGCUGGUCUGGAACUCCUGACCUAAGGUGAUCUGCCCGCCUCAACCUCCCAAAAUGCUGGGGUUACAGGUGUGAGCCGCCACGCCUGGUCUUCUGCAGAACUCUGACCUCAGUCUGCAGUUGUUGGGGUUCUGUGCUGAAUGUCAGACUCCCUCAUAGAAUGUAGGCUUCAUGAGCGAAGGAACCUGCCUGUUUUGCUUGUCAUUGUGUCCCCAGCACCUAGGACUGGACCUGACACACAGAAGAGGGCGCAAUAAAUAGUUGUUGAAUGAACUAAAGUGUCAUCUUGCAAAAGUGGUGGGACAGGAAAGAGGCUGAGGGGAGACCACAGAGGAGGCAUGGUCGCACCUGGGAGGGAGAGGCACAGUCCGGGCACAAGAGGAGCAGAAGCUCUGAGAGAGGGUCAUUGUGGGGAUUAAAUGAGCAUGUGGAGACCACUAUAUGAGUGCUAUUUCUUCCCUUCCUGAAGCCUCUCUGCUCAGUCCUGGUCCACUGUUUCUCUGACUGUGGUCAGUGGUGGGCACAAAGGAGUAGAGGGUCUUCUUUGGUCUGGCCUGGGACUGAAGACAAGAGGAAAUAUAAUUUCCUAUGAUAUUCAUUCAAUAGAUGAGGAAGCCAGGCCUCAGAGAGGAGAAGUGACUUGCCCAAGGUCACACAGUCAGGGACAGAGCCAGGAUUAGAACCUAAGCCUACUCAGACCCUGAGCCUAGGGUCUUCCCACUGUGCCUCCCAGUUGCUGUCGACCCCUUUGUGGACAGGUUGAGAAAAUUUCCUUCACCAGGAGAUCCACAAUGCUCUUCUUCCAGAUCUAAGACAUGCACACAACUAACUCCCUUAGAAACUGCAGAAUGAGGCUGGGCAUCCGGCUCAUGCCUGUAAUCCCAGAACUUUGGGAGGCCGAGGUGGGCAGAUCAUUUGAGAUCAGGAGUUUGAGACCAGCCUGGCCAACAUGGUGAAACCCUAUCUCUACUAAAAAUACAAAAAUUAGCCAGGCAUGGUGGCGCAUGCCUCUAAUCCCAGCUACUGGAGAGGCUGAAGCAGGAGAAUCGCUUGAACCAGGGAGAUGGAGGUUGCAGUGGGCCAAGAUCACAACACUGCACUCCGGCCUGGGCGACAGAAAGAGACCCCGUCUCAAAACGAACAAGCAGAUGGGCGCAGUGGCUCACGCCUGUAAUCUCAACAUUUUGGGAGGCCAAAGCGGCUGGAUCACCUGAGGUCAGGAGUUUGAGACCAGCCUGGCUAACCUGGCUAACGUGGUAAAACCCUGUCUCUACUAAAAGUAUAAAAAUUAACUGGGUGUGGUGGCGGGUGCUUGUAAUCCCAGCUACUUGGGAGACUGAGGCAAGAGAAUUGCUUGAACCUGGGAGGCAGAGGUUGCAGUGAGCUGAGAUCAUGCCACUGCACUCCAGCCUGGGCAACAGAAUGAGACUGUGUCUCAAAACAGACAAACAAACAAACAAAACAGAAAUCCAGGAAUGAGGGUCACCCCCUCUCCUCCCAUCUCCUGUGCUGGGCCAGAGCCCACCUGCAACUGCGGCUUAGGAGCUAGUUAUAGACCCCAACCUCCACCCCAGUCUCCAGUGUACUCGGGAUGGUCAGAGAGGGGAAGUUGGGGCACAAAGGCAGGCCCGGGGUGGUAAGGGUCCUGGAACCAGGUGGCUUCAGGUUUGCAUUCAGCUCUCCACUACCUUACUAAUUUACCUUGGCUAAGUCACUUCACCUCCCUGAGCCCCAUGUUAUUCAGCUGUAAAAUGGUUGGGGAAAAACCCUCUUCUUAGAGCUCUUCUGAGGUUGUUGACUUGAGAUUGGUGGCCCAUAGACACCCAGUCCAUAUUUAUUGAGUGACUGGCUGGCUGAUCAAAUGCAUGUUAGAGGUUUGUUAGCACAAGGCCUGGCUCGCGGGGGUUCUUGCUGUGCUUCUCCUUGGUGCCUGGCCCUACCAUGUGCUGCACCUUUAAUGCAGUCUCCUCUCCAAGCCUCAGUCCUAUCCCACAUAGGUCCUUCAGCCUGUUGGGCUACCACGACCAGGCGCUGCUGCUGUGACAAACCAGCCCUCCCCUUCCCCCUACUUAGGGUCUCUUCAAUGCUUUCCAGCCAAGCCCCACCCCCAGCUUAUGUCCCUCAUUGUCCCACCUGUGGCCCUGCUUAUGACCUCAGACUUGAAGCUUGUCUCUUUUCAGCCUCUUGUAUUUGCCCUCAAUCACAGGUGACUUGGUCUCAUAACAUUGUUUGGUUCCUGUAUAGCAUCCAAUAGUCAAGGCCUGGUUUGACAAAUUAUAAUACUGCAUAUUAUGGGUAUCCAUGGCACACAGCAGUUAAUAACUUAAUUGAUGAACUCAAGAUGCCCGAAUUCAAGUCCCAGCUCGACCACUCGUUGGCUCUGUGACUUUGGGGAAAUUAUUUAACUUUUCUGCAUUUCGGUUUCCUCAUUUAUAAAAGGGAAUAACAAACAGCCUGGGCAACAUAGCAAGACCCAGUCUCUAUAAGAAAUAAUAAAACUAGCCAGGCAUAGUGGUGCAUGCCUGUGGUCCUAGCUACUCGGGAGGCUGAGGUGGAGGAUCACUUGAGUCCAGGAGUUGGAGGCUGCAGUGAGCUAUGAUCCAGUCUGGGUGACAGAGCAAGGCUCUGUCUCUUUAAACAUUUUUUUUUAAUU
rnacentral:lncRNA from 1 species